UCGGACCUUAUUGACGCCAAGAUCAGCCAGAUGAGUGAUAUGAGUUGUACGAGUGCCUCAGCUUCAAGUAAAACAACAUCUAACAUACAUCUUAGUUGAUCCUUGCUCUACAUGUCGGAUCUCUUCUAAGCUCAAUGUUUUGAAUCCAACGGAGCUCCUAGGGAGACCACUACGUCAAAUAUUCAAAUGCUUGGCCACCAUGCCUAUCGACCUGGAGUGCUAUAUCUGCCACGGUAUACAAUU